GCACUUCUGAGGAGUCCCACAAGGAGACGAAACGGCCGUCCAGUGC
rnacentral:hammerhead_ribozyme from 2 species